GAUGCAUUUGUGGAGGAGGAAUUGGGAAUGAGAGGAUCAGGAGGAGGAAGAUGAGGGCAGAAUCACUGUUGUGAGAGGGCUGCUACAGCACUUCAUGAGCUGCUUUGUGUGUGUGUUGCUGAAAUACUGUUUUCCACAAUGCCAAGGAUCCCUGGAUGUUUCAGUGCUGCUGAAGUCCUAUUUUGAGAAUUGAAAUAGUGCUGUGGUCCCAAGGUUUGAAUCUUUCAGAGGGAUAAAUCCUCACCUACUGUGAAUCUGUGUCCCUCCCCUAUGCAUUAUUAUUGUCAUCACUAGUGGUUCCAGAGCUACUUUAUAUGGUGAUCUACAAAGGAAAAUAAAUACUCAGUUGAGAAUGUUAUAUAUAGUAUGCCAAGAGGGGAAAAAAAGAAAGAAAUGUAUAUCUCAUCUAAAACUUCAGAAGGGAAUCAUUCACUGAAGAUGCUGUGCUGUUUGUUGGAGAUGAGGAAACUCAAGGUAUUAUGAUUCUUUGAUUUGUCACAUUGAACAGCAAAAUAAUAAUAAUAUUAAAAGAGGCACUGGAGUUCCUUACCUAGACAGCAAACAUUUACAGACCUGUUUAGUAAAGAUGGAAACUGCAGCAGAGGUCUGAGAAACAAAGAUAUGCCAGACAGAGAUGAACAGCAAGUUGACAAGAAACUUGUGGUGAAAGUUACAACACUUCAAAGGACAUGCAAUCUGCUGUGCUUUUCAAAAUCCCCAAAUAGGAGGACAACAAACCUUUUCCUGUUUAUGAGCAAAGAUGUACUGUAGUGAGCUUGCCAAUGUCCUUCCAAAACAGUGGUCACUGCAUCAAGCACAGUUCACUUUCAAAUUUGCAGCGAUGGAAUUUCUGCAGCAUCGUUUGGGAGGCUUUCUGAUAGACUAACAGAUUUCAGUGUCACUGAGUUUUUGCUGGUUUUAAUCACAAACCGCCAACAGUAAUGGCCAUCAACAAAGGGGAAAGAAAGUUACAAUCCAAUUUUAAACAGAAAGAAAUGUAUAAAGAUAUGUUAGGCUAAAUGAGAGGCUGUGGAAGACUUGCUGUUUACACUGCUUAAACCCCUCCAGAUCCAAACAGGACCGCCUGCUUUGCCAGCUUCUUUUAGAUAGAAUUUUUCAAGUUGAAGUUGUAAUAAACUGGAAAGAUCCUUCAGCAGGGAUAUGAUGGCAAGUGUUUUUGGGCGAAGUUGUGUCUGUCAGGCUGUGAUUCCCAGCUGGCAAGGUGCUGUGUCUGUGAUGAGCCGGUGCAAAUGAACUCUGCUUGCCCUUACUUGACUCUAUGAAGAGGAAGAUUUGCAGUCCUUCUGCAGCAUUACUGAAUUGAGAGUGCUGGGAUGUGUGUUGAAAAGGCUUCAGAUUGCUUCUGGAGGGAGUGGGGUGAGAUUAUUCCACCUGUUGCACGUGGCAGUAGAGCUGCUGCCAGUGGAUGGAAACAUCUGCUCCCCAGGAGAGAGGUCAAAGAGGAAGAGGGGCUCUAAGGUGGGGUAGGAAUGAAAAGUUUGAUCUAGUAAAAUGUUAGCAUUGCCUGAAUGUUUUGCAGCUUGAUUUGCAAAGAGUAGAAAGAGUUGGUUUGUAAAUGGUUUUCUUGAGGGGAGCCCUUUGAUUCAGCUUAUGUUAUUUGUGUAGGGCUUUACCCAACUCACAGACUGAUUCCUGCUUGUGUGUGAUUUCCUGCAGAAAAUAAGGCAUCACUGCAAGUGGCUUCCUCGCUGCUUCAAUUAUUGAAAGCCCUUUUCUACUUUUUGGCUUGAAUUUAUUCACAUUCUCUUUACUUACAUUUGGUCCUUUGGCACAAUUGUUCAUUAAUUUAGAGUGCUCUUCUCUCAGUGAUGCUUUUCUCCCCUCAGACGUAGAGAGAGCCAUCAACUUCCCCUCAGCCUUCAUUUUGCUGGAGUGAGUGAGACGAGUUCCUUUAUUAACCUCUUUCAAGCUCUCCAUUCACCUUCUCAGUCUAAUGCUCUUUCUGACACUUUUUCAUCCAAAGUUCAACUUUUUAAACAAAGGUAAUGAUCAGUAUUAUAGAUAAUAUUCCAGAUGAGACUUUAUUUUCCUUUCUCUCACAAAAAAGUUUAUUCACUUUAAAGUCUGAGAGUAGUCUCACUGAGAAUGUCAGGAUUUUGCACAGGUCAGAGAGAAGUCUCCCUGCUUGUUAGAGCUUUAGAUAUUCCCUCCUUCACUUUGUCUCCUGAUUUCAGUUGCUUGUGAUAACCUGCACAAAUAUUUUUAUUUCACCCCCAGGAACAAAGGCAAAAUAAAAAUUAUUAAUUUGUGAAGGAUCAUUCUUUCCUAUCUUUUAUGCUACGUGAGAUUAAAAACACCA